CUUUUAUCGUGUCAUCUUUCGUUGAAUAUUUUGUGGAUCGGAGCAAAGUUAUUUUGUUGCUGGUUGAGGCAAUAGAUGUAUAUCUGCUAGGAACAGUAAUGCUGGUUUUUGGAAUGGGUCUCUAUGAGCUCUUUGUUUCCAAUCUUGAUAUUGCAAAAGCACAAUCGAAGGAAAAGGGCACAUCGACAUCAAAUCUCUUUGGCAUGUUUGCUUUAAAUGUCAGUCAAAUUUUCUGGCUAUGUUGUUCUCUUUUUGGGGUCUUCUCUAGUUGCAGUCUUGAGGAUAUUUUUUCUUGCAUGUAUGAGCUUGUGAAUAUAAUUUGAUUUCUGAUAUGGCUGAGUUGACGACCAAGAUGGUUGGAAAUAAAAUCAGUGAGUGAACUGAAAACCAAACUGGGUCAUGUAAUAGUGAUGCUUCUUCUGAUAGGAUUUUUGAACAAUUGCAAGAAGACUGCCAUAAACUCUACACAGGAUUUGCUUUGUUUCUCGGCUUCUGUCCUACUCUCCUCUGGUUGCCUGUUUUUGCUAUCUAAGCUCAAUGGCUCUACAUGAGAUUUCUCUUCUGUAUAUA